GGGCGGUUAGCUCAGUUGGUAGAGCGCCUGCCUUACAAGCAGGACGUCACUGGUUCGAGUCCAGUACCGCCCA
rnacentral:tRNA from 3 species